rnacentral:rRNA from 1 species
AGUGGCGGACGGGUGAGUAAGACGUGGGUGACCUACCUUUCAGUGAGGGAUACCGGCGAGAAAUCGCCGACAACCCCGCAUGGGCUUCUGUUCAUCAAGGAACAGAAGCAAAGUUUUUUUCGCAAGAAAGAGACGCUGGGAGAUGGGCCCGCGGCCGAUUAGCUGGUUGGUGGGGUAAGAGCCUACCAAGGCUGCGAUCGGUAGCUGGUCUGAGAGGACGAUCAGCCACACUGGGAUUGAGAACGGCCCAGACUCCUACGGGGGGCAGCAGUGAGGAAUUUUCCGCAAUGGGGGCAACCCUGACGGAGCAACGCCGCGUGCAGGAGGACGGUUCUCGGAUCGUAAACUGCUUUUCUCUGGGACGAGAGUGGACGGUACCAGAGGAAGAAGCCCCGGCUAACUACGUGCCAGCAGCCGCGGUAAUACGUAGGGGGCGAGCGUUGUCCGGAUUUAUUGGGCGUAAAGGGCCCGCAGGCGGUUGUGUCAGUUUGGGGUUACAGCUCCCGGCUUAACUGGGAGAGCGCCUCGAA